UUUAACCUUUUUGUACCUUAGUUUUUCUCAUCUGCUGCAUGGGCAUAAUAACAUUGUACUUUUCUUCUUCUUUUUUUGUGAAAAUCAAAUGAGUGGAAAGAGUGAAAACUUUUUGAAAGGCCAAAAUGGCACCUACAUACUGAAUGAAUCUUGAAAAUAAUAUUCCCUCUUGUCAACCGUCAGGAGUCAGGCAUACGUGUAUCACACUCUGACAAGGUGGAGAGCAGACAGCUGGUUGCCUUGGUGAUGGCUAGACCUAGGGUCCCACCCUACCCUCCAUCUGCUCCCUGUGUGACCGUGGACAAAUGACUCAAUCUCUGAUAUGCCUGGUUUCCUCACUGGAGGAAUGAAGAUGCUCCUGCCAAGCCUACAGCCUCGUGAGGAUGCUGACGAGAUGAUGUGAGCUGGUAAAGCAGGGCCAGCAGCCCACACCUGGCCCACCGUCUGCUUUGGUAGAUAAAGUUGAACUGGAACCCCAGCAUGCCCAUGAUGUGCACGUUUUUUGUGACUGCUUUUACCCGACUGAGUAGGUGUUAACAGUUGUGACCCCAAAAGCCUAAAAUAUCUACUCUCUGGCCCUUUCCAGAAAAAGUCUGCCAACUCCUGAGAAUUAUUUCAUCAUGAAUGUAGAACACUUACUGUUUCUGGCACAUGGUUAUAAAUUCACAAAUAGGAUCUCUUUCUCCCUUGCAAGCAGUUUCCCUGGCAACGAAACCACCUUUCUAUGAUCAGAG